GAUGAACGCUGGCGGCGUGCCUAAUACAUGCAAGUCGAGCGAACGGACGAGAAGCUUGCUUCUCUGAUGUUAGCGGCGGACGGGUGAGUAACACGUGGAUAACCUACCUAUAAGACUGGGAUAACUUCGGGAAACCGGAGCUAAUACCGGAUGAUAUUUUGAACCGCAUGGUUCAAAAGUGAAAGACGGUCUUGCUGUCACUUAUAGAUGGAUCCGCGCUGCAUUAGCUAGUUGGUAAGGUAACGGCUUCCCAAGGCAACGAUGCAUAGCCGACCUGAGAGGGUGAUCGGCCACAAUGGAACUGAGACACGGUCCAGACUCCUACGGGAGGCAGCAGUAGGGAAUCUUCCGCAAUGGGCGAAAGCCUGACGGAGCAACGCCGCGUGAGUGAUGAAGGUCUUCGGAUCGUAAAACUCUGUUAUUAGGGAAGAACAUAUGUGUAAGUAACUGUGCACAUCUUGACGGUACCUAAUCAGAAAGCCACGGCUAACUACGUG
rnacentral:rRNA from 1 species